GAUGAACGCUGGCGGCGUGCUUAACACAUGCAAGUCGAACGAACCUUCGGGUUAGUGGCGGACGGGUGAGUAACGCGUGAGAAUCUGCCCUCAGGAGGGGGACAACAGUUGGAAACGACUGCUAAUACCCCAUAUGCCGCGAGGUGAAAUGAAUUUCGCCUGAGGAUGAGCUCGCGUCUGAUUAGCUAGUUGGUGUAGGUAAUGGCUCACCAAGGCAUCGAUCAGUAGCUGGUCUGAGAGGAUGAUCAGCCACACUGGGACUGAGACACGGCCCAGGCUCCUACGGGAGGCAGCAGUGGGGAAUUUUCCGCAAUGGGCGAAAGCCUGACGGAGCAACGCCGCGUGAGGGAUGAAGGCCUCUGGGCUGUAAACCUCUUUUAUCAAGGAAGAAGAUCUGACGGUACUUGAUGAAUAAGCCACGGCUAAUUCCGUG
rnacentral:rRNA from 1 species